GGAUGAACGCUGGCGGCGUGCCUAAUCCAUGCAAGUCGAGCGAACGGACGAGAAGCUUGCUUCUCUGAUGUUAGCGGCGGACGGGUGAGUAACACGUGGAUAACCUACCUAUAAGACUGGGAUAACUUCGGGAAACCGGAGCUAAUACCGGAUAAUAUUUUGAACCGCAUGAUUCAAAAGUGAAAGACGGUCUUGCUGUCACUUAUAGAUGGAUCCGCGCUGCAUUAGCUAGUUGGUAAGGUAACGGCUUACCAAGGCAACGAUGCAUAGCCGACCUGAGAGGGUGAUCGGCCACACUGGAACUGAGACACGGUCCAGACUCCUACGGGAGGCAGCAGUAGGGAAUCUUCCGCAAUGGGCGAAAGCCUGACGGAGCAACGCCGCGUGAGUGAUGAAGGUCUUCGGAUCGUAAAACUCUGUUAUUAGGGAAGAACAUAUGUGUAAGUAACUGUGCACAUCUUGACGGUACCUAAUCAGAAAGCCACGGCUAACUACGUG
rnacentral:rRNA from 1 species